GCAUGCUACACAUUGUGCCUAGAGAGAUUGAUGUUUUGUCAUCCACCUGCUUCAAAGCUGUAAAACCAGCCGCAGCAAAGGCAAACCUACCCAGCUUCAAAAUCCAAACAAAGAAAUCUUAGUGGGCUGUUUACAUAUCAGUGGAGGGAUAUAUGGGCUUGUGCUGAUGUGGUGCCAGAAUGGUUGAAAGAUUUCAGUCCCUGCACAACGGAAGAGGGGGAAAAUCAAAGCGCGGAGGGCUUGCAGGAGCGGCAGGGGGGAAAAAAAGCUGACGGAGAGGUGAAGAGCGCAGCAAUGGAGGACGGCUACUUCCUGUUCCUGCUGGAGUGACCCGCAGGUCUGAGGAGGAGCGAGAGACAGAGCGAGGGAGAGGGAGAGAGACAGCAGCAGUGGCCAGCCGGUCACUGGGACGGCGCUGCGUAGCCGGCUGAUGGAGAGUUAACUGGUUGGACGGGAUCCAGCAGGACUCAGACAGGAACAGUGGAAUCUGCCUGCAUAUUUCUUUGACUUGAUGUUGAGGAGACAGAAGUUGAGGACAAUGAGGACCUACCUGCCCACUUUAUCCACUCCUCUUCAUGGGUGACUGGCCAAAAUAAGCCUUGGAUGCUGACAGGCAAAGAGUAGAGCAAAGGAAGGCAAGCCCUUCUCUCUGGAGCAGAUGACACAAAACAGAUGGCUGCAGUAUCCAGAGCCUUUAAUGCUAUCAAACGUGUCCAUGAGAGAUCUAAGUGGUGGCACUUGGAGGAUGAAAGUGUGUAGAAAAUCUGUUGUGCUUGAAGGGGCUCAAGGCUGGCCCAGAAGGCCCCAGAUCACUGCAUACAUCAGGGCUGGCUUAAUCCUGAUGGAUCCCAACUCCCUGGAGCAGAUAGAUGGAAGGAAUCUAGCAGAUCUUUGAAAAAGAAGAAAAUGAGGGAAAGAAAGGUGGAAAAAAAAACAACAUAAAAAGGUGGCUGGAACAGCAGUGUCUGGUUGGACAUGGCAGAUGAACUGAUCACCCAGUCUGGGAGCAGCACAGCAUCGCAAACAGAGCCGCACCACCUUGAGAAGCAGAGGGGUUAAGUGCCUUGCCAAGGGCACAACCAGGAGAUGACACAGCCUUCAGCCCUAAACUGGCACUGCCACCAUUCGCCCCUGCAACCCUCCUCCGUUCAUGAUGCCUUCAUCCCUCUCUUCUCCUUCCUCCGCAUCCCUCUCUCCCUCCUUUCUUCCUCUCCAUUCCCUGGCCUGUCAUCAAUCUUGCUAAAAUGACAGCUGACAGAUGUUAGCCUUUGCAAAGAUCAAAUCCGUGGCUGGAGGGCUGCUCACUGCGAAGCAUGCUAGUCACUGUGAGACGCAGGGCCGCAGCAGUGGUUCAUGCGUACACGCACACGCACCAUCUCUCUUCUUGGUUGAGUCUUCCUCAUGCCCCCUCCUCCUGCAUACACACACACUCACACACAUUUAACACAAGCUAACCCCCUCCACCCCCCACCUCAAGUGGUGACAUACAGUACUGAUGGACAAAUGUGUUGUGACAGCAGUCCGAGGUGUGGGGGGGGUUUGUGUGGGUGGCAGGGUGAGAGGACAGCUAGCAUAGAGGGGUGGUGCAGGGGACAGUCUGCCAAAUCAAGUUCAAGUAAACUUCUGACCACAAAGCUAUACUGAUUCUGCAUUCACUGCUAAAUGUAGUUCAAUGCGUGUGCAUUCAUUUUUAUACACCUGCAGGGCAAAAUCAUCCUAAAAUUGUGAUUAAAAACAGGGAUAGCCUCAUCUAGAUCAACAUGAGGCUGACUUUAUAAAGUGCUUGACACAGAAGCUGCACGUUUCAUAUUUUGAAACUAAGAGGGUAAAGUCAUGCAUUUUUUUUUCUUAUGAAGUUUAAGGUUAGGGCUAGAAUAAGGCUUAUAAAAAAGUUCUUAUUAAAUACAGGUCAUAUGAAAAACCUUUAUUUUAAAUUUAAUUUAAACCACUUGACAUGCCAUCUACUCUUUACAUAGUUUGGACAUUUAAUAAUGAUUAUGAAUAAUUGAUUAUAGUGAUUAUGAAUGAGUAAUAUAUUGACCAAUCGGAAUGGUCUGAAAUUCCUUGGAAUAAAAUAAUAAGUUAAAAAUGUUUAUUAAGGUUAAGAAAUUUUGCUAAAAACACUGACAUUGACAAUCAUUCUAUUUAAAGGUUUUGUUCAUUUUCUAAUGACCUCAGGCAGAGGCACCAUACCACCACACCCAGAGAUCAAGACAAGACCAAGUUCAAAUUAUGUCAAGACUGAGACUGUUAAUCUAUGAUCUCCAGACUGGAGUUCAAAGCCCAUUUUAGACUACAGUAUUUUUGCUUUGAAUGACCCUCAAAUCUUAAUUCUGUUUAUUUUACUCAAAUAAAUGAUUGUUUUGGUGGUGACAGAAUGGAAUGUUCAAUCAUAACACUACUAAAACUCAUAGUUAUUUCAUUUAAGCAAACUGUUAUUUAACUGAAGGAAAUAUUUAAUGGUUUUAAUGUUUCACAGUGAUUUUACAGACUUUAGGACACAUUUAUUUGCGAACUACCUGCUCACCGUGUGGCCAUGAGGGACAGGGAUGCUUCUCACAUCCUGCUCUAAAAUAAGCCUCCAUCUAUGGACUUCAAGUCUUUGUAUUUCAGUACUGAUAUGAAAACAUGGGACAGUAUUUAGUGAAUAAAGUUUUUUUU